AAAUAGGUUGCUAUCUCUCAAAAUAUUGAAGUAAAUUAGACAUGGAUGCAGUUACCCGAUGUUUAAAAAUGAAAUAGCAUGAUGCACGAAGAUAUAUUGCAGACUGUUUGAAGUUUGCACCAUAUCGAUUGGAUGGUGAAGUUUGCACCAUAUCGAUUGGAUGGUGAAGUUUGCAGCAUUUCAAUUGGAUGUUGCAAAACGUGCAUCAAAUUAAAAUGAGAGUCUGAUGACAGAAGACGAUAAAGAUGCAGAUGAAUUUAAUACCCAUAAUGAAGAUAGUGAUAACAUGAUUUUAUCAACACCGUUUUAAAAUUAAUUUAAUUUUGUAUAAUUUUUUGUUUUAAAAAUUUUUAAAUUA